AAACCAACAGGGAUUGCCUUAGUAACUGCGAGUGAAGCGGCAAGAGCUCAAAUUUGAAAUCUGGCAUCCGCCCGAAUUGUAAUUUGUAGAAGCAAUUUUUGAACUAGUCCUUGCAUAUGUUCCUUGGAACAGGACAUCAUAGAGGGUGAGAAUCCCGUUCAUGGUGGGGAGCCUAGUUCUUUGUAAAAUGCUUUCGACGAGUCGAGUUGUUUGGGAAUGCAGCUCUAAGUGGGUGGUAAAUUCCAUCUAAAGCUAAAUAUUGGCGAGAGACCGAUAGCGAACAAGUACAGUGAUGGAAAGAUGAAAAGUACUCCGAAAGGAGAGUGAAAUAGGACGUGAAAUUGUUGAAAGGGAAGUGCUUGAGAUCAGUGAUAGAGUUUAGUGAUCAACUUUCCUUUUGGUUUGUGCACUUGCUAAUCUCUAGGCCAGCAUCAGUUUGUGGGGUAGGAUAAUUGCAUAGGAAUGUGGCUGUCUCGGCAGUGUUAUAGCCUGUGUCGAUACUACUUUGCAGACUGAGGACCGCGCAUUUGCUAGGAUGCUGGCAUAAUGAUCUUAAGCAGC
rnacentral:rRNA from 1 species